CUUUCACCAGCCAUUGUCUCACGAUGCAAAGUUUCAGUCUCAGUCACAAAGACACACGCACACAAUUUGAAAAAUCACCUUCGGCAUUCUGCUUCCCGCCUUUUUAACUGCUGCAUUCAAAAGUGGUGGCAGCGCUUUUACAGUAAGCCUUACAGUCUCACACACGCGCAGUCAUUGUGAGAGGUCUGUGGAGCAUGUUGAUGACUCAUAUCUUAGAAAUCACAGCUGCAGACGAUCAGCCGGAUGCCGAUUUGGUUGCAAGCAACUUUCUGUCUCCAUCCAUCUUAGGUAACCCCACUCUCUCUCUCUCUCUCUCUCUCUUUCUGUCCGUCCCUCAACAAUUCAGGUCACGAUUCACAUUCACCUUUUCAACCCAGAUCUAUGCUGCUCGAGUGUGAAGACAAAGGAUGGAUUCUUUAAGCUGCUUUCACCUUCCCAUCUGUGCAGUAGUGUCUGUGUGGGAGUGAGUUUCAUUUGACUAUAUCGUAGAAGAUGCGUUUGACGCUGUCUUUGGGGACACUUGAAGGCCAUGGGGUAUCAGGUGAAGAUACGAGACAUAAAUCCUCUCCAGGAACGUUUCACCAACGCCAUCACGAGCAGAACUUCAACUGUGCUAAUGCAAGUUAGAGCAUAUUAUACACUUCUUCCAGUCUUUUCUUCAGGAGGAAAUGACAUCAUGAGGAGCAGGUCAUGUGAUCUGGAAUUAACACACUUCCUGGAGAGGAGUUUUUGGAACGGGGAACUUAGUGGGAAGUGAUUUAAUUUGUUAUUUUCCAUAUAGGAUUUGAUAUAUUGCCAAAAAAGAAAUAUCUGUCCUGAUUAUCUCACCUUAAUAAAAGAACACAAUCCAAACUA